AUACUCUGGUUUCUCUUCAGAUUGUAUAAAUCUUUUGCCUUUUAAUAAAUAUUUCUGUGGAGAGGAACAUGUAUGAGUUUCUGACUAAUUUUUGAAGUCCUGUUUAGAGAGCCGGUG